rnacentral:rRNA from 1 species
UACGUAGGGGGCUAGCGUUGUCCGGAAUCAUUGGGCGUAAAGAGCGCGUAGGCGGCUAGAUAAGUCCUUUGUGAAAGCCCCCGGCUCAACCGGGGAAUAGCAGGGGAUACUGUUGGGCUAGAGUGCAGGAGGGGAGAGCGGAAUUCCUGGUGGAGCGGUGAAAUGCGUAGAUAUCAGGAGGAACGCCGGUGGCGAAAGCGGCUCUCUGGUCUGUUACUGACGCUGAGGCGCGAAAGCUAGGGGAGCAAACGGG